UUGUUUUUUAUGCAUUUUAAACAGGUCAAAUGGAGUGGUGCCUACCAUGAGGGGGCAGGAUUGACACUAGGGGAGGAGGUAGAGCAGGUCAAUGCCUUCCUCUCUCGGAUAGCAGUGACCACCAAACACAUGUCCAAAGCAGGACGCACAGACAUGCUCACCCUCUUGGCCAUGUGCUGGAAUCAGCAAAAGACUGACAACUUGGCCACCUCACUGUCCCGCAGAUAUCUGAGAACCAUGAAGACCGAAUUGGACGUCACGGAGAGCCAGAUGGAGGACUGGGUCAGUGACGUUAAGGAUUAGGCAGACGGUGAGGAAAUUAUAACAGUUUUGUAAGCACAGAGUUUCAGACUCUUGGCGAUAAAAUCCUGUGACAUUCUACCUAGUCUUUAUGAAGCAUUCAUUCAAAUUAAACCGUUAUUAGAAGUCACUUAAAAUGUAACACGCAUU